AUAGGUAUAUAUGUAUAAUUUUAUAUUAUAUAUAUAAUAUAUAUCUCUUAUUGGUUCUAUUUCUGUUGCAUGGAGAACCCUUUCUAAUACAGAGGAAAAUGGUAGGUGUCAUAUUUUAACCAAGAAUGUAUGUCAGACACCCACAGGACACUUCCCAAAAUUGUGUAUGGGGGGAAAGAGAGUAGAGAAGGGGUGGGUGAGGAACGUGCCAUUAAUGUAAAACUAGAUUUCUUUCACUUCUAGAUGGGGAUACAACUUACAAAAAACAUUUUGAUACAUAUUUUGACUUAAUUUUAUCAGAACAAUCUGUUAAGAAAGCCCCAGGUAAUGCUUGUAAGAGUAUAGAAGAACAAAGUACACGUUCUAAAUGAACGACCAUUUUAAUAGCUUGCACUAAAUAAUUUCAUGUAGUCAGCACUCUAUAUUUUAAAGAAACACAGAAUAUUCAGCUAUUAAAUAUAGAUAAUUUAAUCCUGAAUAUUAUAAAACUAUAUUAUUUUCCUAUUGUCUCUUACUAUUAUUAAUCAAGCAAAUUAAGUCAGUCAAGUGAUUCCAAAUAAAAUGUGACAAUUUGUUAUACACAGCAAUUUUAAAAUUAUAAAUUAAACUCUAUGUGUUAAUUAUAUUUCCAAAAUCAAACAGCUACAUGUUUAUGUCUUGAAGACUAUCUAAAUAGUUUACUUCUUAGUAGGAUUUUUUAAUAGCUUUUUUUGUUGUUAUGAGUUAAAAGAUACCUCAAUAAAGUGAUUAAACCACUUGGAAAAUCAUGUGCUUACACGCAUAUUUAUACAGUACUUUUUUUUCCCUUUAAAUGAGAUGCAACAUUAACAAUUCACAUCUUGAUAGAUAGUAACAUGCGUUUUGUGUCUCAGACUGGGCUCUCUUUUCCCUUUCUCUGUGGCAUUUAUGGUACUCUUAAAACAAGUUGGCAAUAAAAAUCAAGGAAACCUGCCUGAGUAAAUGUGUUUAUUUUAUAGAUGUUGCUUUUUAUUUAGCAUCUGAAGUGAUAUUUGAAGGAAGAAACUUGCUAAAAUCUCAACAGAGACAGUUCAUAAUUUUCCAGCAGGUUGAUGAAGUCUGAGAUGACCUCACCUGGCCAUGAUAUCCUUGCAAUUGCUGACACCUGUAUGUUGCGUGGAGCAUCAGGUGGUCAUGAAAGACAAGGGAAAUUAAAGAAAAGCAAAUUUACUCCUUCUGAAAAGUUUUAAUUAUUUUAGAGCAAAUGUGUGUUUGCCCAUAAAUCAUGCUGUGAAAUUGUUUGGCCCACAAAUGAAUCAGUAAAGAUGAAAAUAGUAUGGGAAUUGAAGUCCUGAGGGAAAAAGGGCUCGUGUCCCCGACUGGCUAACACAGACAUACAAAACAUGUUUGUUUUUUGUGUGUUUGAAGUUAAGUAAACACAAUGAGGCAAAACCUCUAAUUUUAUGUAAACUCCAAAUGUAUAAGAAAUUGUAUGUAUCAAACCUGACAGUGAAGUAACAAAGUUAUAUUUAAAAUUUAUACAUAAAACCCAAAAGCAUUUUACAUAAAAUUGCUAGUCAAAGAUUGGAACGCUUUUCUGAUGGGGGGAAAUACAUGGACAAAUAUUUUUAUGGAAAUUAUUUAGAAGAACCUGUGUUCAGUCUUUGGAUUAUAGUACUACAAGAUCCAGAAAGGUCAUUUAAAUUAUAAUGCUCAAAUUCUGUCACCUUUCUGUCUCUUUUUAUUUUCUAGAGUAGAACGUCAGUCUACUGACCCUCAACUUACGCUGAAUGUAAUCCACAAGAGGACAAACACUGUAUGGAAAAUGAUUCUACUUUCACCAGGAAGGAAAUGUCAUGGGCCUCCGAAUUGGGAGGGGGAAAAAAAAUCUUGCAGCAGUGCCUAUUGGAAAUUACCAGGAAUAAAUAUCUUUGUUUUCUUGAAAUAAAGUUCAAGGGCUUUUCUGGAGUGAGGGAGCAGACUGAGGGAAGAACCAGAAGGCUGCCAAAAUACAAUUGUGUGCCUUUAAAGGAAAUAACAACAAGAAUUAGGAGCGCCCUGGAGGCAAGGAAGACAAGAUGUGGUUUGGGGAUUUCAACUUCCAAGUUCAGCUGUGAGGCCUAUGGACUGAAUCUUAAGCUUUUUCUUGACAUCAGAUAUCUCCAUGUAUAUGGCAAUUCCUGCCACAGAAAUCUACUCUCAAAAAAGUCCCGGAACCCCUGAGGUCUGCUUCUGGGGAAACAAAACCACGGUAACUUUAGAAAUAUGGUAUUAAUGGGUAAAGACACCAUGGAUAUGAAGGAGAUUACCUAUGGAAGAAUAUUAAGAAGAGAAGAAGGUAAAUAAUCUUCCUUGAGGAACAUCCACAUUUAAAGGUCAGGGAGAAGAUAUAUCAGCAGAAGCAUCAGAGGGGGUUGUGGACAAACUAUUUUCAAAAACUAAGAUGUGAAGACCACUAGAAUUUGCUUAAAUGCUGUUGGAAAAAGAUAUAGCAAACAGGAGUGUGAAAAUAUAGGUAAGUGAAAAGAGGAAUAGUCACUGGUGUAAGAUUCCCAAGGGAGUAAGAUAAAAUUGAAUCCAGGUCCUGAAUGCUGGGAUAAACUUUGCAAAAUAUUUGGUAGGUUGGGUCAUAGAAAACAGAGGAAGUUCUUCUCUGAUAUUUGGAUAAUUCUGUAUUUGGAAACAACAAGAUAAUGGAUUGUCUUUCUUCCUACUUUUACCUUACUGUUUGAGUACUGGCAUGAACAAAACUCAGAACAUAAUGAAUCUCACUUAUUUCCAAGUGGGCUACUCCGUUAUUUAAAAAAACACAUCACAUGGACAUGGAGUUUGAGGAAAAUAUUUAUUCUAUUUAAUAUUAAGUUAGGCUUCCUUCCUCUAUUCAUCAAAUUGAACUGGAUAGAAUAGGAGUCCCUAAUCCAACACCUCCAACUGGAGAAACAGUCUACUGAUUCUCACAGAUCUCAUGCCCUGCUUUGUGUAGAUAAUUUUCAUAUGGAUUAUAAUGAAUAAUAUUAAUUUAAACAAUUCCCUAGAAGCCUAAAACAUUUUGUUUGAAGCUCUUCUUUGUCCAUCUAAAAAUAACAUCUGCUCUACAAGGCUACCAUCAUAAUUGAGUUCUACAUCUCCAGUCACAACUAGAACCAAAAUUACAGUGGACAUACAAUAAUUCUUUAUCUCUUGGUUCCAGAUUUUUCUCAGUUAUUUAUAUCUCUCUAUUAUGGUCUCAUGUUCCUUUCUGUUACAGAGUUUCAGUCUAUGUUGAGUCAAGCAAUUAUAGGGCUGCUUAAACUCUGGUUCAUUAGCCAUGGUCCACUAGCAUCCAUGUCAUGGCGCUAGGGUUUAAUAUGGUUAAUAGGAUCCUGGAUGAGGAAGUAGAUUGAAAAUUAACUUUAAAUUAAACAUAAAACACUAAAAAUAAUUAGAAGCAUUUAAAAAUAAAUGUUUCCAUAUAUGAGUUAGAAAAUCGGACUUUAUUUUGAUCCUAGGGGCUGCUGGCUAUAGUGAAAUGUAUAAAAAAGAGAGCGUGAUCCUAGUUUCUGUCUCUACUAUGGGUUACUUGUGAUUAACUUCAAAUAUUCCCUCCGCAAGAAGAGGCCCAGUAGAAGAAAAUGAGCUUCAGUUAUUCCAGCACAACUACUGUGAUAUUUGUAAAGAUUCAAAACCUAUAAUAAAAUGUGUAAAAGGAAACUCCAUUUGAAAUGAUUUGAAAUCUCACAUGGAAAUCUAGUUUUUUAAAUCAGAGCUUAGUCAGAGAAAAUAACAGAAUAUUGUAAUAAUUGAAUUACAAAAACAAAAAUUUUGGAAAAUAAUUUUUUCUCUCAUGUGAUGUGUGUAUGUCUAUCUAUUUAGCAAUGGUGUUAUUCCAUCAAAUGGGAUUAGAUUCAUUUUUGACUCCUGCUAAGCACCCUGUCCCCCCAACCUCAAGAUUAUGAAAGUGGAAGGGAAGGGGGAGAUAGGGAGGAAAUAUGACUUAUUUAAACUGUAUUAAAAUGCUGAAAUAAAAUGAACAUUCAAAACUCCUA